rnacentral:rRNA from 1 species
AAGUCGUAACAAGGUUUCCGUAGGUGAACCUGCGGAAGGAUCAUUACUAGAGCAAAGGAUAGACAGCGCCCGCGGAGCCUUGCUCCCUGGGGCUACCCUACUUCGGUAAGGUUUAGAGUCGUCGGGCCUCUCGAAGAAGCUCGGUCCUGAACUCCACCCUUGAAUAAAUUACCUUUGUUGCUUUGGCGGGCCGCCUCGUGCCAGCGGCUUCGGCUGUUGCGUGCCCGCCAGAGGACCACAACUCUUGUUUUUAGUGAUGUCUGAGUACUAUAUAAUAGUUAAAACUUUCAACAACGGAUCUCUUGGUUCUGGCAUCGAUGAAGAACGCAGCGAAAUGCGAUAAGUAAUGUGAAUUGCAGAAUUCAGUGAAUCAUCGAAUCUUUGAACGCACAUUGCGCCCUCUGGUAUUCCGGGGGGCAUGCCUGUUCGAGCGUCAUUAUAACCACUCAAGCUCUCGCUUGGUAUUGGGGUUCGCGGUCUCGCGGCCCCUAAAAUCAGUGGCGGUGCCUGUCGGCUCUACGCGUAGUAAUACUCCUCGCGAUUGAGUCCGGUAGGUUUACUUGCCAGCAACCCCUAAUUUUUACAGGUUGACCUCGGAUCAGGUAGGGAUACCCGCAGAACUUA